rnacentral:rRNA from 1 species
ACGCUCGACACCUACGGGAGGCAGCAGUUGGGAAUAUUGGACAAUGGAGGGAAACUCUGAUCCAGUGACGCCGCGUGAAGGAAGAAGGUCUUCGGAUUGUAAACUUAUUUUGUCAGGGAAGAAAAAUGACUGUACCUGAAGAAAAGCACCGGCUAACUACGUGCCGGCAGCCGCGGUAAUCUGAGCGGGCUGGCAAGGC